AUUAACAUAAUAUUUGGUGAAAUCGUCUUUGGGGUUGAACUUGAAGGGCUUUGAAAAGUGAAUGAAAAAUUGACUAUUUAAUUGUUUCGCAGCGACUUUGCAACACUAAUUGCUGCGAACACACCUCUCAAAUACGUCAAUUUAAUCGUCAUUUCGAUGCGACAUGUUGUCAAAAAGCUAACAGCACAGCAGGUGUGACGCACAGACCCCAUUAUGCCGCGUUCAAAUCAACUGGAAAUUCGGGAAAAUACGAGGGUAUUUCGGAUCGCCUGGGGCGCAGUCCACACUCCCACAAGACACUGUGAGCGACAGAAGGUACAUUGUCCAGGAGGCCCAGACCCUCUUCAGACAGGACCAACAGGUAAAGACAGACCCUAUGUUUGUCUGUGUAGCUCGGUAUCAUCUUUAUCUGUUUGAUUAAUCUGUUGCUCUGUGUAUCCCUUUCAGUUGACAGAUCAGGAAUCAAUAAAGAAGUGCUUAGCAGAAUGUGAGGCAAGGAUAGAAAUUAGUGAGUGUCAAGAAAAGCCUGGUUGACAUUUUCAAAUUCUUUCAUUUAGUAAUAAUCUCUGGACAUAUCAGACACGUUUUAGAGUUCACACUUAAAUGCUUUGGUGUGAGAAUCUGAGCGAUGUUUUUCCCCACUAAGUUUCGCAGGUCUUUAUUACAGGAAUCCCUAUCCAAGACUUGUAAGUGACAGACAUCUAAACCAGAAUAAAUGUUUAUAUAUCUCAGGCAAUAUUGUGUGAAUUCACUAUUAUUUAAUGUAAUGGUUUUAUUUCGGUUCCAUACCCUUCGUUGCAGAUCUACCUGCUUAUAAUGGGACUGGCAACCCAGAAAGGCAGGAAGCUGAAAGCACAGCAACGCUUGAGGAAGCAGGCCAAGCCAGUUUACUUACAGUCACAUGAGGACAGCUGAUACUACAGCUGAUACUAGAUGAACUCUAUAUUCUUGUGAAGGUUUUAUGUUACCAAGUACACGAGGGGAGUUACUGACUGAACUCAGGAGUUGAGUUGAAAAUCCAUCUUAUAUAUUGGAGGAAAAUAGUCAUUAAUUUCCAUUGUUCAUCACGCAAAUCAAUGUUCAUCAAGCACAUUGCAUUGUAAACUGCACUGUAGCAUCCACUCCAUGAUGUCUGCAACAGUACACUGUACCAAGUAUAUUUAUGCAUGUGAUUCCUGACAAAGAGCUGCUAUGUAGAUGUCAGCAUUGUCUGUCCUGUAAGAUAAGUAGCCAUAAAGAUUUAUGAUACUAUUUUGAAUAUAUUUAUCAUUUCAAUAAAUUGAGAUUUGAAAAGCA